rnacentral:lncRNA from 1 species
AUGAUAUUUUCUUCUUCAUUCUUCUACUGUACAUCUUCUUCUACAUCUUCUUCUUCUUCUACAUGUUCUUCUUCUUCUACAUCUUCUUCUUCUUCUACAUCUUCUUCUUCUUCUUCUACAUCUUCUUCUUCUUCUUCUUCUACAUCUUCUUCUUCUUCUACAUCUUCUUCUUCUUCUACUUCUACAUCUUCUUCUUCAUCUUCUUCUUCUUCCUCCUCUACAUCUUCAUCUUCUUCUACAUCUUCUUCUUCUUCUACAUCUUCUUGUUCUUCUAUCUUCUUCUUCUACAUCUUCAUCUUCUUCUACAUCUUCUUCUUCUUCUACAUCUUCUUGUUCUUCUAUCUUCUUCUUCUUCUACAUCUUCUUCUUCUUCUACAUCUUCUUGUUCUUCUCCAUCUUCUUCUUCUACAUCUUCUUAAUCUUCUUCUACAUCUUCUUCUUCUUCUUCUACAUCUUCUUCUUCUUCUUCUACAUCUCCUUCUUCUACAUCUUCUUCUUCUACAUCUUCUUCUUCUACUUCUACAUCUUCUUCUUCUUCUACAUCUUCUUCUUCUUCUACAUCUUCUUCUUCUACAUCUUCUUCUUCUUCUACAUCUUCUUCUUCUUCUACAUCUUCUUCUUCUACAUCUUCUUCUUCUUCUACUUCUACAUCUUCUUCUUCUUCUUCUACUUCUACUUCUUCUUCUACAUCUUCUUCUUCUUCUUCAUCUUCUUCUACUUCUACUUCUUCUUCUACAUCUUCUUCUUCUUCUACAUCUUCUUCUACUUCUACUUCUUCUUCUUCAUCUUCUUCUUCUACUUCUACAUCUUCUUCUUCUUCUUCAUCUUCUUCUACUUCUACUUCUUCUUCUACAUCUUCUUCUUCUUCUACAUCUUCUUCUACUUCUACUUCUUCUUCUUCAUCUUCUUCUUCUUCUACAUCUUCUUCUACUUCUACUUCUUCUUCUUCAUCUUCUUCUUCUACAUCUACAUCUUCUUCUUCUUCUACAUCUUCUUCUACUUCUACUUCUUCUUCUACAUCUUCUUCUUCUUCUACAUCUUCUUCUACUUCUACUACUUCUUCUUCUUCUUCAUCUUCUUCUUCUACAUCUACAUCUUCUUCUACAUCUUCAUCUUCUUCUUCUUCUACAUCUUCAUCUUCUUCUACAUCUUCAUCUUCUUCUACUUCUACAUCUUCUUCUUCUUCUUCUUUUUCUUCUUCUUCUUCUUUGGUGGACUGCCCUGUUGACUGGUUUCCACAGUGAUUAA